CGCGAUAGCUCAGUUGCGAGAGCGUCAGACUGAAGAUCUGAAGGUCGCCAGUUCGAG
rnacentral:tRNA from 13 species